UACGUAGGGCGCAAGCGUUAUCCGGAAUUAUUGGGCGUAAAGAGCUCGUAGGCGGUUUGUCGCGUCUGCCGUGAAAGUCCGGGGCUCAACUCCGGAUCUGCGGUGGGUACGGGGCAGACUAGAGUGAUGUAGGGGAGACUGGAAUUCCUGGUGUAGCGGUGAAAUGCGCAGAUAUCAGGAGGAACACCGAUGGCGAAGGCAGGUCUCUGGGCAACAACUGACGCUGAGGAGCGAAAGCGUGGGGGAGCGAACAGG
rnacentral:rRNA from 1 species